UCAAACUUGGUCAUUUAGAGGAAGUAAAAGUCGUAACAAGGUUUCCACUUCAAGUUCAGGAACUGAUCCUUCCGCGUGACACUUGCUGAAGCCUUAGCAGCCCGAAAGGGUGCGGCCUCUACGACUUGAAAAAAAAUGAAGGCUGCUUAAAUGCUAGUCUGCGCAAGCAGGCGACACUAUCAAAUUGCGGGAACACCCUAAAGACCUCAACACCAAGCGUCCGCUGGAAACGGCGGCGUGGCCGAGCUAACAUGCACAAAAAACCGUUCCGUAGGUGAACCUGCGGAAGGAUCAUUAAAAGAAGCGGUGCCUUCGGGCCCGACCUUCCAACCACUGCGUACAAAAUUCAGUUGCCUCGGUCGCCUGGCGGCCGACGGAACGCCAAACGAACUUGUUUGAAUACCGUCAAAACCUCGCGAAUGCGAAAAGUACAACUUUUAACAACGGAUCUCUUGGCUCCGGCAUCGAUGAAGAACGCAGC
rnacentral:misc_RNA from 1 species